rnacentral:rRNA from 1 species
UACAGAGGGGGCAAGCGUUGUUCGGAAUUACUGGGCGUAAAGGGCGCGUAGGCGGCCUUCUAAGUCGAACGUGAAAUCCCCGGGCUCAACCCGGGAACUGCGUCCGGGACUGAAAGGCUCGAAUCCGGGAGAGGGAUGUGGAAUUCCAGGUGUAGCGGUGAAAUGCGUAGAUAUCUGGAGGAACAUCGGUGGCGAAGGCGGCAUCCUGGACCGGUAUUGACGCUGAGGCGCGAAAGCCAGGGGAGCAAACGGG